GGGAAACACCAAAGAACACCAGGAGCCUGCAUUUGGAGAUCUGCAGCAGCCAACCCCAGCGUCCAGACCCAGGCGACCACUCCCAGGAAAGACCUUCUGGAUUUGUUCAGCUCUUCAGAGGGGUGAAAGAGUUUUGUUGUCAUCUUGUGUUGUUAAUUGUUUUGGUGCUGGGGAGUGCUUUGUUGUUGAAUAAACAGGUUCUUUUCCACUUCUCUCUCAGAGGGAAUUUUUCCCUGAACCAGAUUGCUAUGCAUUGUGUGAAGAGAAGCUCUUGUGGCAGCUGAUGGAAGCAUUAUCCAAAAUCAAACAUAAUGUCCCUGAAGGAAAGAGCAGAGCAGUGACAGCUGCCACAACCCUUCACAGCCACCACCAUGCUGCAUGAACUGAUGAGGGUCUGCACAAGGAAGUGGCUGAGGAAGGCUCUGCCAGGGCAAGGCCAGUGCUCUUGGUGCUGCAGUGUGGGGCACAUCAUUUCAUUAGAGACAAUCAGAUUAACACCCAAAUUGUUCCUCUAAGGCUUGGCACAGAUAUGGGGAAGAGCCUACACUGCUGGGAGUGUGGAGGAGGAAACUUCUGAACAAAGCUUGGUCCACCUGACAAACAGACACUUAGAGACUCUGUUUUGGAGAAACUUGGAACUUCUCCAUGUCUUGGCUACUGUGCUGAUGUGGCAUCUUCCUUUUCUCCACUGAUGACUUUGCAAAGUGCUGAAGAGAGAAGCCGUGGAAGAUGAGGGCUUGGGUCUGUGACCGUCAGCAAAGGUCUUAUUGGACUCUUCAAACAGGAGAAGGAUAUUUUUGGUUAGUUUUUCUUCUGACAAAUGGUAUUCAAGCUUCAUAUGCUUAUUCCUUUUGGGGCAAUGUACUGUAUCUGCUGAAUACCCAGUUCUGGUAUUACCUAUGAAGAAAUGCUCUAGUGAUGCAUUCUUUCAAAGUAACGCUGAAAUUUUAAAAGUAGCAUACCAUUUACAUGUGCAAUAACUGGAAUUCAUCUGUAUUGCUUUUAUAAGGAGCACAAACACACCUAGAUUAAUAAAUAAAGUUUCCAUUGUUACCUUCCAGCAUUAUUUCCUUUUCUCCAUUCUAGUUUCCAUUUUUACCUUCCAGCAUUAUUUCCUUUUCUCCAUUCUAUUUUCCCUUAAGACUGCAAAGUUGAGAUAUCUCUGCUACAAGUGGCACACAUUAAAAAAUUAAUUGUCUCAGCUUAUUACUAAAGGCCUUUUCCCCUCCUAAUUUAUUGUUUCCUUGGCAGUUAUAAAUAUGCUGUAGAAGGUGGCAGACGUGCAAAUCCAUCAGUAUAUCCUUCAGUUACUCUGAACAUUUACACUGGAGUCAGGCAUCAUGGCACUGCACUCUGCAAAGUGAAAGCUCUGGGUUUCAAAUGCAUUUAGGGAGAUGACUACAUUGAUUUCAAGUACUGAAAUAUUUUCGAGACACUGAGUUCUAGGAAACUAACUUUCAUUGACUUUCAAUGAGGAUGUUCUAAGUUAAAUCCUGCAAAAUGCUGAGUAUUCCUAAAAUUCAGUGAGUAGUCACAGCUUUCCCUAAAAACAAUUGGAUUUGAGGCUGUCCAACACUUUAGAAAACUGCUCAGCACUUUUCCAGGUCAAGCUUUUAAAAAUGUUUCUGUCAGGUUGCUAUAAUCAGUUUGAAAAUUCAUGGCCACUUUUGGAAAUGCUUGCAGGUCCUGAGUGUGCAACUUUAGUAUGAGAUAUUAAAAGUGGUUUACUAACAGGAAGAUUUUAUAAUAGACAAUCAGACAUAAUCGCUUUAUUAUGAGGUUCUCCUAACAGCUCAGAAAAAGCUUUGUUGUUCUCUAACCAUUUAUUCACAUUUAAAAAGUGAUCAUUCUUUUAAAGUCUCUUAAAGAACAAAAGCCUUCUACUAUAUAAAUAGUGCUUUGAGUGUUACAGGGUAUUGACUCCACAUACCAUAAUACAGCAUUAUGUCAAUCUGGUGCCAACUGUGGUGUUUGUCACAUUUUGGUGUGAUAAAGAUCCUUAUGAAGUAUCUGCACAUAAAAAAUGCCAGUGACUCAAAUUAAAAAAAAAAAAAUCAUCCUAUAAGGAAUAUUUUAUCUUUUGUCAGGCAAAUGAUCUCAUUUGAAAACAAAAAGAACUCAGUCAGUGAUCUCUGAAGAGCCUUUUAGCCUGCUCCCUGAAGUGGAUGCCAGAGUUGUGUCAGGCUCCCUGAGCUGAGCAGGGCAGAGGUUGGGCAUGGCAGAGCAGGAUUCCAGACACUGGUGUACCAAGAAGAUUAGUGCUCCUAGCUCUGAAGGAUCACAAGAACUAUGAGAAACUAAAAGGGUUUAACUGUGUAAAUUCCAUCCUCUUCUGGGGACCAUUUAUUUCUUCAGAUUCUGAGAGAAAAAAACCAACCUGCACAUCAUAUAGAUAGGUACUCUGAGCCUAACCUACAUUUAAAGACACCCUGAAAAUACUUUGUUAAUGAAUACAAGCAAAUGAAUGCUUCCUUGUCAGUCUUCAGUGUUGCACUAAGCUGCUUCUAAGACUGAAUGAAAUCCAUAGAUGAUGUCCAGAAAAGUAAUUUGGGAAACUGUUAAUUAAAAUGCAAGGUGCAUUGAAAAUUUUUUUAGAACUUUGCAAUUUCAUGAUUGUGCAUCAUCCACAUUGUGCACCUUUCAUUUCUUUCUAUUUUAGACAUUUCAUUCAGCUUUUUUCAAAACAUGCCAGCAGGCAUCAGGGCAGAGAAGGUUAAAGUUUGAUUAGGCAAUGAAUAAUUUAAAAAGUAAAAUUAAGAUGGUUUUAUUACCAUAUAUUUAAAAAUGCAUUUUUUACCAAUGGUUUAAAGACAUUUUUAAAAAAUUGAAAAUGUAGCCCACUAGAGAUUACCAAAUUACUCUAUCAUUCUUGUCAGUUCCCCUUCAUUGAUUAAGAAAACAUUUCAAGGUGGCUUUAUCCCAAAAUAUUGCCUUCAUGUGGAUUUAAACAGAAGAAACCUGUGCAACUAGAAGAGAAACUGCUUUUUUUCAAAUCCAAAUACACAAUAUGGUAAUCAGUCUGAAUUCCUAAAAUAAGCACUAAAGAAAUUUUAACAGGAAGACUUAGGUUUUGGUCAUGAAUAACUGGAGUAAGUUCGAUAAUUUUUGGAGCUCUAGAGGCUAUUCUAAAUAGUUAAGGCAAGUUUGUUUUGACAAUAAAUAGUGAUUGCAUAGUAAUACAAUAGAUAUUUAUAGAGACGUCAUAUAUAUUUCAGAAAACCUUAUUAAUCUACCUUUAAAAUUGUAUUACUUUAUGAGGGACUUAAUAUCAGGUGAAUUUUAAUAGGAGUCUAGUCCAGCAUUUCCCUCCCUACUGGGAACGAAACAAGGCCCUUUCUUGUGAAUUAGUGUUAAUAAGUCAUCAAUAGAUUCAGCUGUGGGAUAAUGAAUUACUCACUUGUUCUUGCCAGAAGAGUUCAAGUGGGCUUCUUGCAACAUGCUGAACUAUUAUUUCCUGGUGGAGUCAUGCAUCUUGUCAGCCACUUAAUAGCAGUGGCUGCAGGACACAUUUGGGCAUUAUAUAAUCAGAAUAACCCAAACUUUAGACCUUGCUUGUAAGGAUUUCAGAGACACAAUUGAAAGACAUGUCACAAUGUACUUACAGUGAUAAGCAUACAUGUAAAUUGGCUCCUAAGUUAUCUAAGUUCAGCUUCAUUUUCUGCAAAGUACAGUGAUUUAUGACAUAACCAUGCUAGUUACUUUCUUGUAUUUAUAGUCACCUUAUGAGUGUUUACAAACAUGCAGUAGCUACAUCACUGUCCAAAUUCCACCUAACAGGUGGAACAGGUGGGAAAACCCUUCUGCUAUUGCAAUAACAUUCAUUUUUAUAUGGGUGUUGUUUUCCUGACCAGGAAGGAGCUGUAAGGGGAAACAGUAAAACAGCUCACAUGUAGUCCUUUUAAGUUAGGGUGUGCUUGUGUGGAGAGUAUGCAUGGUCAUUUAGUUCCUCCUUCUCUCCUUCCAUUCAUUUGUUUACUGCAUUUGAUACUUGUAGGAAGCACUUGUAUCAUGUUAAUAUUGAGGUACUAUAGAGCAAUCAAAGCCUCCGUGUGAGAUGUUAUAUAUGCACAAAACAAAACAUGGUCACUGAGCUGCAGACUGUGUUAAUAAAUAUACCUACAACUUCAAGGGGAGUUCCUGGAAGGGUGGUAGUGGUAUUCCCUGGAGAUUGAUUCACUUGACACCACCUGUAUUUGUCUCUCUGAUGUAUUCCUUCUCUAUUCAUUAAGCUCUUCCUGCAAGACAAUCUCUUAUUGAUACCAGACAUAUAGGCCAUUAGAGAGUUUGUACAAGUGCAAUCCCUCCACUUGGCUGGGCCGCCAUUCUAAGACCUGUUUCUGUCUUUUGGGCUUUUCCUUCUCUGAGGUUACUCCUAAUUGCUACUUUUCUUCUGACUCUUCUCACCCUUUCCAUCUCUCUUUGGACAACAACCUUUUCUACAUAGGCCUGGUAUUUCUGUUCUCUCAGCCCCUUAGAUUUUAGCUGUUUGUGCUCUCAUUCUUCAGACCUCAGCUGGGAUUUCUUUUAGAGAAUAAGAUAAUUUCAUACAAGCCUCUGUUUUAAUUCCUUUACAGAUACUGUAUUAACAACAUGUGAUGCAGUAGUGGUUUUGUAAAGAUCAGAUACAAACCUGCACAAAAUUAGCUUUACGUUUUAGAUCUACCUCUUUCACUAUCCCUUUCUGGCAAUAUUUUACUUUUCUACAUUUUAGGGAAAAGCUUUUCUGUCCCUGCUUUCUACCCUUUCUUAGCCUGAAUUUUUUUGAGACAUGAGAAAAAGAAAGGAGGAAGACUGCACCUUUGACAGUGUAAAUCUAUUUAUGAACCACCUAAACCAAAGUUUAUCACAUAUAAAAAAUAUAUUAUUCCCAAAGACUUCCUUCUCAAGGACUGUAGGUUCAAAUCUGUGAUGGAAUCACUGAUUUUCUCUAUUUGUUCUCACACAUCUUUUGAGCUGAACAGAAGACUACAUUAGUGUGGUGGAUUCUUCCUGAUCAGUUGGCAAGCAGCAGGUUCCAUGCACACAGGCUGCACUUACACCCCUUUAUGGCUAAAAAUAUUUAAAUAGUUGUUCAAAUUACUCACGUCUUAGGUAUGGUGAGAAAUACAAAAACAAUGUCCAUUUACUGAACUGCUCUGUAACAAAGCUCACAGAAUAGUCUGCCAGCUGACAAGCAAUUUAACUGGGAGGCUGCUGCCAGUGACCUCAAAUACAUGCUUUUCUUUUAAACUGCUGAGAUCAAUAAUUGUACAUCUGAUGGCAGAAUGAAAUCAGUGUCCUGCGAUGAGCCUGCACUGUUCAUUUUAUCUCACUGAACCUCAUCCCUGACUCAUCAGCAGAGCUUGACUUCCCUUGUUGGAUUGCUAGUUCUGGCAAUUUUUUUAGCACAUGUAUUGUAGUCAGCAGCCACAGGUUAGGGUGACCUAUCAAACAUAAUUUAUUUAAACAAAGGUUUGAAUGAAAGUCUUUGGUGGAAAAUAUGUCUUGUGUUAAAAUGGUUAUCUACACAAAUCUUUCAAUGUAAACCAUUUACAAACCAGUAUGUGAUCACUAACUGCUCACCUCUGAGCAGAAUAUCUGAAAUAACCCCUUUUGAGAGGUACACUUGAGACUAUCAGUUGACUCAUGUAUUGCACUCUUACUUUUACUUUGCACCUGGAGAUAUUGUGCAAUUGUUAUGUGUUUUACUUUGGUAAUAUCAUUGUGAUUAUGCUUCUGUAUAACAUAAUACAUGGCAAAGCAGAAUAAAUGUGUCCUUC
rnacentral:lncRNA from 1 species